rnacentral:rRNA from 1 species
GAUGAACGCUGGCGGCGUGCCUAAUACAUGCAAGUCGAGCGAACAGAUAAGGAGCUUGCUCCUUUGACGUUAGCGGCGGACGGGUGAGUAACACGUGGGUAACCUAUCUAUAAGACUGGAAUAACUCCGGGAAACCGGGGCUAAUGCCGGAUAACAUGUUGAACCGCAUGGUUCUACAGUGAAAGGCGGCUUUGCUGUCACUUAUAGAUGGACCCGCGCCGUAUUAGCUAGUUGGUGAGGUAACGGCUCACCAAGGCAACGAUACGUAGCCGACCUGAGAGGGGGAUCGGCCACACGGAAACUGAGAAACGGUCCAGCCUCCUACGGGAGGCAGAGGUGGGGAACCUGCCGCAAUGGGCGAAAGCCUAAGGGGGCAACGCCGGGGGAGUGAUGAAGGUCUUCGGAUCGUAAAACUCUUUUAUUAGGGAAAAACAAAUGCGUAAGUAACUGUGCGGGUUUUGACGGUACCUAAUCAAAAAGCCACGGCUAACUACGU